UGGGGAAUAUUGGACAAUGGGCCCAAGCCUGAUCCAGCCAUGCCGCGUGAGUGAUGAAGGCCCUAGGGUUGUAAAGCUCUUUCACCGGUGAAGAUAAUGACGGUAACCGGAGAAGAAGCCCCGGCUAACUUCGUGCCAGCAGCCGCGGUAAUACGAAGGGGGCUAGCGUUGUUCGGAUUUACUGGGCGUAAAGCGCACGUAGGCGGACUUUUAAGUCAGGGGUGAAAUCCCGGGGCUCAACCCCGGAACUGCCUUUGAUACUGGAAGUCUUGAGUAUGGUAGAGGUGGGUGGAAUUCCGAGUGUAGAGGUGAAAUUCGUAGAUAUUCGGAGGAAAACCAGUGGCGAAGGCGGCUCACUGGACCAUUACUGACGCUGAGGUGCGAAAGCGUGGGGAGCAAACAGG
rnacentral:rRNA from 1 species